CAGCAGCAGCAGCACUGUAGCAGCGACGCCGGGGCAGCUGCAUGCAGGAGGGGCGGCUGGGGUCGGCAGCACCAGCAGGCGGCAGGAGCGGCGGCAGCAGCAGCAGCGCAUGCUGCAGCACCUGCGUCAGAUGUCACGUCAUAUGGAAGGGGGCUGGGCCGCCGCGACUAUUGGCAGUGUGGAGCUGUCGCUGCAAGCGGUGUGGGAGCAGGCGGAGGCAGUAGGGCUUCACCCCAGCGACUCGGCGGCGGCUGGCGGCGGUGCGGCAUUGGCUGCCGCGCCCGCUGCCACUGCUGUGAACCCGCCGCCGCCAGCCUACAAGGUGCCGGAGCGGCUGCUUACGGGCCUGGCAGCUGGGAGCAGUGGGAUUGUGACGCUGUGGGGCGGCGUGCCCUUGGUGCCGGGUGCGGAGCAGAUGGCGGCGUUGCUGGGCGAGGCGGGCCUGGUGCUGUGCGGCAACCCCGCCUGCAGCAGUCUGGAGGGCGACAGCGAGGCAGGUCUCAUGGCGGCGGGAGCUGCGGCGGGGCAGCAGCGGGGCGGCCGGGGCGAGGCCGCCGGCGGGGGCGGACGCAUCAAGACGUGCUCCCGCUGCCGCGCGGUGCGGUACUGCUGCGGUGCGUGCCAGCUGCAGCACUGGACCACGGGCGGGCACAAGGAGGCGUGUGCCGGGGCUGCUGGGGGCAGUGGCGGGGCGGGCGGUGGUAGCAAGGCCGGCAGGUGAAGGGUUGCAUGGGCUUACGGCUUCUAGGACCUUGCAUGAAUGAACAGACAUAUGCGUUGAUGCGUAUGGCGAUAAGUCGAUACGGUGUUAUCGUGCUGCAUUGCAUUUGUUGCUGUAUAAAUGGAUGCGGUGAAGCAGGAUAGGCACCGCGCAGCCGUGGCAGCGGAUGGACGUGUCAGCAAUGUGCAUGUGUGGGUGUCGUAUUGACGGGCGCGUGUUGAUAGGGCGCCUAGCUGGUGCUCCUGCAAGAUUUCGGGCGAGGCCUAGGCCUUCUGUGAGUAUGUAUGCGCGUUGGACAGCGCAGCGAGUUGAUGGCGGGUACAGUACUGUACCGGCACUACGGCCCGCUUCAGACGGCGCGUGCGGUUGGCUGUGGGACAGGCUUGUAGGUACCGUGUAUGGGAGCCACCGCCAGAUAGCCUGCACCCGCUGAUUGGCGCCACAAAUUUGUACAGCGCUGAGCGGCUUAGGCAUGGCGAAACGCAUGUGUAUGUUGGACCCUUGGUGCAACCAUUGGGUGCCGGGAGGUGGUCGACAAGCGGUGGCGAGUUCAGUCCAUUCUGUUACGCGGCCGAUUGUAUCAGUACCAGAUUGGUGCCGUUAUGCAGUACAAGCUGAUUGGGGCAGCACCGGAUUGGUGUGAUGGGACAGGGUAAGGAGCAGGUUGGCGACUUGGCGUAGUCUCGUAGUGUGCAACGUAUUCCCAGACGACCCAGCAUGCAGCAAUCAAGUUGCGAUUUCAACGCUUGUGCGCGUGACUGAUAAAGUUCUGGAGUGACUGUACGAGGCGUCGCUUGCUUGCUUGUAGGCGGGUAGUUACGCUGACGCACAUUGAUUGAUCGUUAGGGUUCCACUUGCCGUUGCUCGUGGAGUUGUUUGAUGACCACCAUUGACAGUUGCCAGUAUGCGGUGCGGGGUGUCGUACGGAAGCCGUCAGCAGGAGUAGAAGGGAGGGAGGGAGGGAGGGGGCCGGGCGGAUGACAGCACGGAACUAGCCGUGUGGAGUGGGUCCAAAGGGGCAAAGGCUGGGGCAGUGGCCAUGGGCAGUGGCCGAGCUGUGGCACCCAUUGCAUCUGCGGCAUGAAUGCAUGAUUUAAACUUGCCCGGCUAUGACUGCAGCUUUUGGCCGCAUCCUAAGCUAAUGAAAAGCAACGUUGCUGCAAGCCGCCGAGUUCCCUAUAUCAUUUUCCAGCUUUUGAGUGCCUGAUCUUGCUUGAUCCCCAGUUUGCCAGUUCCUGCACGUUGCCUGAUUCGCAACCGACAUGCGUAGAGGCAGAGCUGCGGGGGGCCGGCAGAAGAGCGCUGUCGAACGGGACCUGUCGACCGCGCUGUCAUCGCUCAGGGCUGGCCAGGGCCUGCAAAGGCACCUCGUCGACAGGCUCGGAUCUUGUCGCGAUGAAAUGCGUAACAUGGAGCAAUCGCCCGAAAACAACGCGGCCGUGCUCGCUGUGCUAGGCUGGGCGGCACGCGAGGCAACGCGCGUGGCCCAGACGCAACAGGAGCCGCAGCAACGCCGGGGGCCGCGCUCCGGGGCGUCAGAGGAGGAGCUUUCGCGGCUGCUGCAGCUGGUGUCGUCAGCCCUGACGCCGUUAGCUUGGCUGACUGACACGAAAUCCAGCCCAGAGCUGGGGCAGGCCGUGGCGCGCACACAGCUGCCGCAGGCGUUGGCGAGUCUGCUCCUGGCCCUGUUCCCGCCCGGCUUCAGGUGCUGCGGCGGUUCCGGCGGAGCCAGCCGCGGCAGUAGCAGCAGUGGCAGCAACAGUGGCAGCGGUGGCAGUGGCAGCACGGGUGUCGGCAGCGGCGGCCUAAGGACGCGGCUGGACCUGCUCGCGUGUGUAACGACGGUGACCUCAUGCCUGUGGGAAUUGAGGGCACAUCGCGUACCCGAGCUGGUGACCUGCCUUCGGGAGAGCCAGCUGCUAGAGCGCGUAGCAGCUGCCCUGCUGCGGGCGCAGGCGGCGGAGUGCGGCCAACAGCAACCGCGCAGUGGUGGCGCAGGCGCCGGGCCGUCGACUGCUGGCAGCCACCGCAGCGGCGGCAACGGCAGCAGCUGCUACGUGGCUUGGCUCCGGAGCGCCAAACAAGCCAAGCGGCUCUGGCCCGUGUUACGAGUGAUGACAAAGCAUGUGGUCACUGGGACUGCGCCCACCGUCCCGCCUCGAAUCUGGGUUAUGCCGGGAAACGUGCAAGACAUCGCCGGGGACCUUCCGCAGUGCCGCGAGGCGCUGUCGGCUCCGGCCGUGCAGCUGUGGCUGGGGCGGACCCUGGUGGCAGAGACCAACAGAUGCCUGGCAGAGGCGGAGGAGGGGGAGGAGGAGGGGGAGGAGGUGGCAGCACAGGCGGCCGGCGGCUCAGCGGCGGACAGCUCGGGAGCGGCGGCGGUGCUGACCAGGGACGUACAGCAGCAGCAACGGUGGUUCGGGCUCCCAGAGUCCCUACGCCCCGGCGGUCUGCCGCUGCCAAGGGAACGCAGGAACACGGCUGACCUGUUGAUGGAUGUCGUGGAGUCAGUCGGGGUGGUGUGGGACUUCACGGUGUCAGGGCCGCGCCUGCCGCGCCUGGGGCAGCAACCGCCACAGAUAUUCUUUGAAGGGCAUCCUGCUGGCGAGGCAAUGCGCAAGGUGAUAGGCGGCGUCGGCACACCUGCGGAGGCGGCUGCGGUGGCGGCGGCAGAGGCCCAGCUGCCGCCGCUGCACCCGCCGUCGUACACGGCCGUGCAGGUGUACGAGAUGACUCAUGCGGCCCUGACGGUGGCGCUGGACCACGCGCCCGCAGAGGCCGUGUGCCUCCACCCGCCGUCGCUGCUCGCGCGCUUGGUGAUGGAGCUGCCGCCGCGUCAGGCGGCGGCGCGUCUGCCGGGCCUGUGGUGCACGCUGUCACGUGUGCUGCCGCGUCUGGCGUGCGGUGGCACUGGCGCACCCAGCAUGGCCUUUGGCAAGAUGUCUCAAGGUACCUUCUGGGAGCGUGCGGCAGUGUGUCGAUCGGAGGUUACACGCCUAUACAGCUACUACCUCAGCAUGCUUCUGCAGCUGAAGCUGCAGAUGCCGUUAGCAGGGCCGAGGGCUUUAGCAGCCUCAGGCGCGGGACCGGCGGCGGAUGCAGCCACUGCAGUCGGAGGGCCGGGGCCGGGGCCGGACUUCAGCCUGCGCUGCGCGCUGGGCGGUGGUCUGCUUCCCGCCAUUGAGGCCCUGCUGCGGCGGCUUUGCAGGACUACUGCCGCACAGGCGACGGCGGGGCCCAGCGAGGCAGCAGGCUUUAUGGAUGCAGCACAGCAAGCGUCUUACACGGUGCACAUUCUGCUGCGCUGCUCUGGCGUGUGGCCGGCUGUGCUGGCGCACGGGCCGCCGCAGCAGGUGGCGUCGCUGGUGCGCACCAUGGGCAAGGCGCUGGCGGCAGUCGGCGACACGUACGCUGCGCUGCAGCAGCGGCCGCAGCUGCUGGGGGCGGCGACGAAGAUGGUGCGUUCAGCGGGGGGCUAUGAAAUGGGGCAGGGUAACUUCUUUUCCGCGCUAGCCGCGCUGCUGGAGCAGGCGUCUGUCAUGCUGGACCAAGGGAUGGUCUUCCAUGGCCUCCGGGGCCUGGACGCUGUGGCAGCAGCUGUGGCUGACCAGCAUCGACAGGCUCGAAACAUGCCCAUCAAUAACACUAUGGGAACGGAACCGAUGACGCUGGAGAUCGACUGGGUCGCAGCCGUGGGCGGCUGCCCCUCCGCCGACACGGCUGCGGCGCGUCAGCAGCAGGCACUGGCGGGCUGGGCGUUGCGGCAGUGGAUGCCGCAGAUGUUGCGACAGGUGGAAAGCGACGGCCCCGCAGCCGUCAACCGUGUGUACGCAGUCAGCCACAUGCACGACAUGGCUAUCAGGGGUCUGUGGCUGGUGAUGCAUGAGCACCUGCUAGCGAGCGGCAGGACGGCCGCAGCAUCAGCCACCGCCCCCUGCCCGGCCGACGCCGCGGCGAACGCAGCGGGCUGGCGGCACUUCCUGCUGGGCGACCUUAACGCUUUGGGCUGGACGGAGCGAUUGCUGGCAAAGGCGGCAAACGCCCCGCCGACGGCGGACGACAUGCAUGAAUGGAGCUGGUGGAUGCUGCUGGGGCUGUCGCUCCUAGCCGUCAGCGAGCUGCCUGGUGGGCCGGAGGCGUGCGAUGCCGCGGCCAGCGCGAGGGGCUGCAAAGUAGCCGCGGGCAGCAGCAGCAGCAGCGCUGUAGCAGCGACGUCGGGGCAGCUGCAGGCAGGAGGGUCGGCUGGGGUCGGCAGCACCAGCAGGCGGCAGCGACGGCGGCAGCAGCAGCAGCACAUGCUGCAGCACCUGCGUCGGAUGUCACGUCACAUGGACGGGGGCUGGGCCGUGACUAUUGGCAGUGUGGAGCUGUCGCUGCAAGCGGUGUGGGAGCAGGCGGAGGC
rnacentral:lncRNA from 1 species